GACGAACGCUGGCGGCGUGCUUAACACAUGCAAGUCGAACGGUAAGGCCCUUCGGGGUACACGAGUGGCGAACGGGUGAGUAACACGUGGGUGAUCUGCCCUGCACUUCGGGAUAAGCCUGGGUAACUGGGUCUAAUACCGGAUAGGACCACUGCCUGCAUGGGUGGUGGUGGAAAGCUUUUGCGGUGUGGGAUGGGCCCGCGGCCUAUCAGCUUGUUGGCGGGGUGAUGGCCUACCAAGGCGACGACGGGUAGCCGGCCUGAGAGGGUGACCAGCCACACUGGGACUGAGAAACGGCCCAGACUCCUACGGGAGGCAGCAGUGGGGAAUAUUGCACAAUGGGCGCAAGCCUGAUGCAGCGACGCCGCGUGAGGGAUGACGGCCUUCGGGUUGUAAACCUCUUUCAGCACCGACGAAGCGCAAGUGACGGUAGGUGCAGAAGAAGGACCGGCCAACUACGUGCCAGCCGCCGCAGUAA
rnacentral:rRNA from 1 species